UACGUAGGGUGCGAGCGUUGUCCGGAAUUACUGGGCGUAAAGAGCUUGUAGGCGGUUCGUCGCGUCGAUCGUGAAAACAUGCAGCUCAACUGCAUGCUUGCGGUCGAUACGGGCGGACUAGAGUACUGCAGGGGAGACUGGAAUUCCUGGUGUAGCGGUGAAAUGCGCAGAUAUCAGGAGGAACACCGGUGGCGAAGGCGGGUCUCUGGGCAGUAACUGACGCUGAGAAGCGAAAGCGUGGGUAGCGAACAGG
rnacentral:rRNA from 1 species